UAUGAAUAACACCGUGGGCACGGAGUACUCCAAGUCAAUCAUGUUAUACGUGAAACCACGCGGCAUCGCCUGUCGAAGCUUGGAUGAGUUUACGAACAAUGCCACUCGUGUUCUUCAAUUGUGCGACUAUCGGGACAAUUCGACGUGGUUUAUUCGGUAGUCUAUCUCGGAGAAGAACGAGAGGAGGAGGAGAGGACGACGCGCGCGUAUACGAGAGAUACACUCCGCUAGAUCCCGAUCGAGACGGGAGGUCAAUCCGCUCGUGGACGGGUAGAAUUCUGCUGAUAAAA